rnacentral:rRNA from 1 species
AGAGUUUGAUCCUGGCUCAGGAUGAACGCUGGCGGCGUGCUUAACACAUGCAAGUCGAACGAAGCACCUUGAUUUGAUUCUUCGGAUGAAGAUCUUGGUGACUGAGUGGCGGACGGGUGAGUAACGCGUGGGUAACCUGCCUCAUACAGGGGGAUAACAGUUGGAAAUGACUGCUAAUACCGCAUAAGACCACAGCACCGCAUGGUGCAGGGGUAAAAACUCCGGUGGUAUGAGAUGGACCCGCGUCUGAUUAGGUAGUUGGUGGGGUAACGGCCUACCAAGCCGACGAACAGUAGCCGACCUGAGAGGGUGACCGGCCACAUUGGGACUGAGACACGGCCCAAACUCCUACGGGAGGCAGCAGUGGGGAAUAUUGCACAAUGGGGGAAACCCUGAUGCAGCGACGCCGCGUGAGCGAUAAAGUAUUUCGGUAUGUAAAGCUCUAUCAGCAGGGAAGAAAAUGACGGUACCUGACUAAGAAGCACCGCUAAAUACGUGCCAGCAGCCGCGGUAAUACGUAUGGUGCAAGCGUUAUCCGGAUUUACUGGGUGUAAAGGGAGCGUAGACGGAGUGGCAAGUCUGAUGUGAAAACCCGGGGCUCAACCCCGGGACUGCAUUGGAAACUGUCAAUCUAGAGUACCGGAGAGGUAAGCGGAAUUCCUAGUGUAGCGGUGAAAUGCGUAGAUAUUAGGAGGAACACCAGUGGCGAAGGCGGCUUACUGGACGGUAACUGACGUUGAGGCUCGAAAGCGUGGGGAGCAAACAGGAUUAGAUACCCUGGUAGUCCACGCCGUAAACGAUGACUACUAGGUGUCGGGCAGCAAAGCUGUUCGGUGCCGCAGCAAACGCAAUAAGUAGUCCACCUGGGGAGUACGUUCGCAAGAAUGAAACACAAAGGAAUUGACGGGGACCCGCACAAGCGGUGGAGCAUGUGGUUUAAUUCGAAGCAACGCGAAGAACCUUACCUGCUCUUGACAUCUCCCUGACCGGCAAGUAAUGUUGCCUUUCCUUCGGGACAGGGAUGACAGGUGGUGCAUGGUUGUCGUCAGCUCGUGUCGUGAGAUGUUGGGUUAAGUCCCGCAACGAGCGCAACCCCUAUCUUUAGUAGCCAGCGGUUUGGCCGGGCACUCUAGAGAGACUGCCAGGGAUAACCUGGAGGAAGGUGGGGAUGACGUCAAAUCAUCAUGCCCCUUAUGAGCAGGGCUACACACGUGCUACAAUGGCGUAAACAAAGGGAGGCAGAACCGCGAGGUCGAGCAAAUCCCAAAAAUAACGUCUCAGUUCGGAUUGUAGUCUGCAACUCGACUACAUGAAGCUGGAAUCGCUAGUAAUCGCGAAUCAGAAUGUCGCGGUGAAUACGUUCCCGGGUCUUGUACACACCGCCCGUCACACCAUGGGAGUCAGUAACGCCCGAAGUCAGUGACCCAACCGUAAGGAGGGAGCUGCCGAAGGUGGGACCGAUAACUGGGGUGAAGUCGAAACAAGGUA